rnacentral:rRNA from 1 species
UACGUAGGGUGCAAGCGUUAAUCGGAAUUACUGGGCGUAAAGCGUGCGUAGGCGGCUAUGUAAGACAGAUGUGAAAUCCCUGGGCUUAACCUAGGAACUGCAUUUGUGACUGCAUUGCUAGAGUGUGGUAGAGGGAGAUGGAAUUCCGCGUGUAGCAGUGAAAUGCGUAGAUAUGCGGAGGAACACCAAUGGCGAAGGCAGCUCGCUGGGACGGUAUUGACGCUGAGACGCGAAAGCGUGGGGAGCAAACAGG